rnacentral:lncRNA from 1 species
CCAACACGUCCACACCAGAUAAACAAAUUAGUUCAAUUACAAGAUCUUCAAAUGUUCAUCAACAUCAAAGAAAGAUAAACAAACCAACUAAUUAAUGACUCGGGUACUCGCACUCUGCGCCCAUCCUGUCCAAAUCAAUGCAUCAUGUAACUCUGGUAAAGAAAAAGAAAAGAGGGGGUGAGCCUUACAGCCCAGUAAGAAUCCCUACACAUCCAUACCAACACAAUAAUAAUAUGAAUUCGAAAACCACGACAAAUCGAUGCACAUUUCAUGAAAACAUAAACAGUUUCCAAAACUCAAAUAAUCAAUAUAAGUAUGUACAUCAAACAUCAAUAAAAGUCCAGUCACACAAGAAUGAUAUAGCAUAUCAUAGCUCAUAAACCUUCAUUACUGUUUUCAAUGCUUUUUCUUCUAUUCCAUGUUAACUUGAUCCGGAUCAAUUAUCUUUCCGACUUUGGGCUACAUCCCGGUCACGUUUCCGGCCCGUGACGGGGCAAUCGAUAGUAUCACAUUUCCGGCCUGUGAUGGGGCAAUCGAUAGUAUCACAUUUCCAGCCUGUGACGGGGCAAUCGAUGGUA